rnacentral:rRNA from 1 species
CCUACGGGAGGCAGCAGUGGGGAAUAUUGCACAAUGGGCGCAAGCCUGAUGCAGCGACGCCGCGUGCGGGAUGACGGCCUUCGGGUUGUAAACCGCUUUUGACUGGGAGCAAGCCCUUCGGGGUGAGUGUACCUUUCGAAUAAGCACCGGCUAACUACGUGCCAGCAGCCGCGGUAAUACGUAGGGUGCAAGCGUUAUCCGGAAUUAUUGGGCGUAAAGGGCUCGUAGGCGGUUCGUCGCGUCCGGUGUGAAAGUCCAUCGCUUAACGGUGGAUCCGCGCCGGGUACGGGCGGGCUUGAGUGCGGUAGGGGAGACUGGAAUUCCCGGUGUAACGGUGGAAUGUGUAGAUAUCGGGAAGAACACCAAUGGCGAAGGCAGGUCUCUGGGCCGUCACUGACGCUGAGGAGCGAAAGCGUGGGGAGCGAACAGGAUUAGAUACCCUGGUAGUCCACGCCGUAAACGGUGGAUGCUGGAUGUGGGGACCAUUCCACGGUCUCCGUGUCGGAGCCAACGCGUUAAGCAUCCCGCCUGGGGAGUACGGCCGCAAGGCUAAAACUCAAAGAAAUUGACGGGGGCCCGCACAAGCGGCGGAGCAUGCGGAUUAAUUCGAUGCAACGCGAAGAACCUUACCUGGGCUUGACAUGUUCCCGACAGCCGUAGAGAUACGGUCUCCCUUCGGGGCGGGUUCACAGGUGGUGCAUGGUCGUCGUCAGCUCGUGUCGUGAGAUGUUGGGUUAAGUCCC